ensembl:lncRNA
GCUGUCUCCGGCUCUGCGCCGGCCCUGCCGCUCCCUCGCUCGGGCCUCUGCGCUUCCUCUGGCCAGGACGGCCUGCAGCCCACGGCUGUGAGCCCCACCUACAGCAGUGAUGUCUCCCCCGUGUCUCCCUCCAGGGCGUGGUCUCCCCGAGCCAAGCAGGCCCCCAGGCCCUCGUUCUCCACCCGGAACGCAGGAAUCGAGGCUCAGGUGUGGAAGCCUUCCUUCUGCUUCAAGUAACAGUCUUCCCACGGGGUCCCACUGCCGGUCCACGCCCCUUCUCCAAAGGCCGGGAAGAGCAGACCGGGCAGGAAGCAGCACAGGGCCUGUCGAGGAGGAUGAGGCGUCCAUGGCUCAGGGGCUGCCACCGCCUCUGGAGCUGCAGCCGGCCUCUUCCCGCCUCUAGGGGGCCUGGGCACCGUGCGGAGGAGGGUCACGGAGUGAGAACUCUCCCUGGCGCCCUGAAAGGCUGAGGGUGUCCUUUGGCCGUGGUGAGAGCAUAGUGGCAGAGUCUGAGGCCAGCGUCUUGCUGGGGAAAGGUGAUGUCAGGAGGGGGCUCUCAUGGGGACCUUUGGAGCAGACAGCCUGCCAGUGCCUGUGGAGUUCUUCAGUCAAGGGCUUGCCUCCUCAGCUGCCCUCCCUCAUGCGCUACUGGCAUCUUACCUUCUGUUGCUGGAUUCGCAUCUCCGUGGGCCUGUCUCUUCCCCUCUGCCUCCUGGACACCGAUUCUUCUCUGCUGCUUCAGAGAGCUUCACCUGCCUCCACUUUUCCUCCUCUCCUGGGUUCUGUGGAUUCGGACUCAGCCUACGCUGCUGAUUCUUUGCUUCCUACCCCUCCUCUACACCCUCUCAGGACCCAGCUGCACCUCAGUAACUCCUGGCCCCACCCAGCCCUGCUUCUACCUAGCUUGCCCUCACUGUUUCGGGGUGGGGGCAUCCCAGGAUCCCUGAGAGAAGGAGAACCCUGAGGAGGGCUGUGGGGGGAGUGGGGGUGGUAGGAAAGCAGCCCCUUAGUGAGGUAUCUGUGAGAUGCUCUGAGUUAACCUCAGCCAAGAGCUCCCUGACUGAAAGGAGCCAUCUCAGUGCAGUAGGGAAAAUGCCCCAGGGAGAGAGGGAGGGAGAAGGAGGGGAGGUUCUGGGGCCCUCUGCUUUCCCUGUGCUGGGUGAGUCUGGCCACUUUUCCUCUCUGGGGCCAUUCUCUCAUCUAUACAAAAGGCUCUUCGAGUGGAGAUGAUCUGGAAGUCUGAAAAGAUAGGCUGGUACUUUGGAAGAAAAGCAUUGUAGGUGGAAAGAUUGUCCCCUGGGAAGAAUGGAAAACAAUGUCCAUGCAGGUCAGAGUGAGUUGUCUGUGAGGGACCUGGUGGGUGUGGUUGGAAUGAGCUGCUGCAGGAGGCUGAAGGAUCAGAAGCUUGGGUGGGGAUGGCGCCACUUGGGAUUUUUUGGAGUUAGUCAGGGGAACAUGAGUGUCAGGGCAGGUGCACGGCAGCUUUGAGGGGAGGCAUACAGAAGACUAAAGUCUAAGUCUGGGACUGAGACCUAGAUUCAGAAAGACUGACUGCAUGCCUAUCUUUGGGUCUUAGUUUCCCCAUCCAGAGGAGCGAGGAUGUUGAAUGAGGUAACCUGAGAUCCUCAGCCCCUCCAGCCCCUCUGAUGUGAUGCAGGCCCCAAAACAAGGAUCUGUGGGGUGUGAGAAUAUAGACACAAGAGUCAGGAUUUGGAUGGAAGCUUCCCAAGACCGGGGGCUGAGGGCCACCCACUUCCUCUUUCCAGCCCUAUUUCUGGGCUCCUCAGAGGAGAGAAGGGUGGUGGAGGCGGUGCCCAUGCUGGGCUGUGCCUGCAGCUUUUAUGAGCUCUGGGCUCGUCUCCAUGGGAACAGGGGUGCUUGCUCAGUGAGCUCAUUCUACACAUCAAAAUGAGGGGUGUGGGGGGCAGCUGUGAGGGAGCUCAGCACCUCAUGCCAGGUCCCUCCUGCCUCCUGCUCUCUUGGGCCCCAGGAGGGGGCCAGUGUGGAAAAGCCACUUCUAUCCUGCAGCUCCUGCCGCCAGGCUGAGCUCUUCCCCCGACUUUGUUUUCUGUCCUGUUCUCAAUACACUCUGCCUCAAAUCCGUCUUGCUUCUUUCUUUCUUCUACACUGCUGCUGCCUACCAAGGGUCAGGGCUCCCUCCCUGCUCCCUGGUCUGGCCUGG